CCACGGACAAUCUUAUUUAAGUCAAUAAAUUUUAGGCCAAUUUGCAUAAAAAAUUCACUUAUUUUGGACUUUUGUAAAACCGGACCAUCUUUUUCGUUUUUGCAAAUUCGGUCCGCUUUUUCGGCAAACUGACCAAAAUACCCUUAUACUUUUUUCUCUUUCCUCUUUCUCUCUCCUCUUCAUUUCUCUCGUUCUUUUUUUCUUUCUCUUCCCAGAGAGCGGCGGAGACGGAGCGGAGGCGCCCUUAUACCUUUUUCUCUCUCCUUUUUUUUCUCUUGUUCUUUUUUUUUUUUUCUUUCUCUUCCCAGAGAGCGGCGGAGACGGAGCGGAGGCGCCCUUAUACCUUUUUCUCUCUCCUUUUUUUUCUCU
rnacentral:lncRNA from 1 species